UACGUAGGGAGCAAGCGUUGUCCGGAAUCAUUGGGCGUAAAGCGCGCGUAGGCGGCCUCAUAAGUCCGUUGUGAAAGUCAAAGGCUCAACCUUUGAAAGCCGAUGGAUACUGUGAAGCUAGAGUACGGAAGAGGCGAGUGGAAUUCCUGGUGUAGCGGUGGAAUGCGCAGAUAUCAGGAGGAACACCAAUAGCGAAGGCAGCUCGCUGGGACGUUACUGACACUGAGGCGCGAAAGCGUGGGGAGCGAACAGG
rnacentral:rRNA from 1 species